AAGAGCCGCCGGAAAACGAAUCGAACACCGUGGACCGACGUACACGAAACACCGUCAAAGCUCCUUUCUGCAAAAACGACGGAAGCACCACGCGAGACUUGCCAAAACAUAUCCGUCGUGACGCUCCAAUCAAGUCACGCCGACCACCCUCGCCGCGGAUCUCCUCACUACCGCCGUCAAAUCCGCAACAGUAAUCAGCCCUCGAGCCACCGCAGACGAAACAUUCUCACAACCACACCAGAUCGAGCUCUUUGCGCCGUCAAGCCACCGCUUCCGACCGUAUCGACUCAGAACCGUGUCACCCUUAACCUCCUCGUCGCGAUUGACGGACCACCGCGAGUUUGCUGCAUGAUACCUCCGUCACCACCGCACGACACCUCCGUCACCACCGACGACGUGAUUCUCUCUGAUUCCAGAUAUGUGGACAACCGCAACACAUCACCGCACAAUAGCCAUUCUCUGCUACCCCUCCGCGUUGCCGUUAGAGGAAGAAGUUGUGAAAGGAGAGAAGAAGAAGACAGUAGAACAAAGAGAAAAAACGAUACUUGUUGUUUUUUUUCUUUUUGCUUUAUUACUCUAAGGUCAUAUAAAUUGUUUUUUUUUUGUUAUUUUACUGCCACGUGUCAAUUCUGGAGUGGCUAG